UGUAAGCGUAUACCAAAGUUGUUGCAGUUAAAACGCUCGUAGUCGGAAUUUGGCAGUUCCGGAUGUGUGCACGUCGUGUGCGCACUUCGCGGGGAUUGCUUUUGUGGUCUUGCGUAGGAUGAGGCACUUUUAUUAGUGAACGUCCUCACGCAACCACUUUUUACUGUGAGAAAAUCAGAGUGCUCAAAGCAGGCAUUUGCCGUGAAUGUAUUAGCAUGGAAUAAUAGAAUAGGACUUGGUUCUAUUUUGUUGGUUUGUUGGGACUGAGUAAUGAUUAAGAGGGACAGUUGGGGGCAUUUGUAUUUCGGUGCUAGAGGUGAAAUUCUAGAUUACCGAAAGACAAACUGCUGCGAAAGCGUCUGCCAAGGAUGUUUUCAUUGA
rnacentral:rRNA from 1 species